AGCAGCAGAGAAGUGACAAUGCCAGUGGCUCCCUUCUCAACCUCUCCACCAGAGUAGAAGAAUCCUAUAUGCCAUCCUCUGGCAGGUGAUUACUGUACAACAGGAAAAGUGGCAACAGGAGGUGACAAAAUAAAUGAUCUCACACAAAUACUAAUUGUUUCCAUUGGGUAUUGUUAGGAAUUGUCAAAAUUGAGUUCUCUGCAUUACCUGACGUAUAGUGGCAUCACCUAACAGAAGUUACAACCCUAUGAGCACUUACCUUGUACUGUUCUGAGCACUUUUAACAUAUUAUAACUCAAU
rnacentral:lncRNA from 1 species